rnacentral:tRNA from 1 species
GCCCCCAUAGCUCAGGUGGAUAGAGCGACGGUUUCCUAAACCGUAGGCCGCCUGUUCGAGUCAGGCUGGGGGCA